GGUUAUUUAACUCAGUUGGUAGAGUGUCACGCUCAUAACGUGAAGGUCGGGAGUUCGAGUCUCUCAAUAACCA
rnacentral:tRNA from 1 species